AUUGAACGCUGGCGGCAUGCCUAACACAUGCAAGUCGAACGGGGGUAGCGAUACCCUAGUGGCGGACGGGUGAGGAAUGCGUAGGAAUCGGCCCACGAGUGGGGGACAACCUGGGGAAACUCAGGCUAAUACCGCAUACGCUCGUAAGAGGAAAGCGGGGGCUCUUCGGACCUCGCGCUGGUGGACGAGCCUACGUCCGAUUAGCUAGUUGGUGGGGUAAAGGCUCACCAAGGCGACGAUCGGUAGCGGGUCUGAGAGGACGACCCGCCACACUGGGACUGAGACACGGCCCAGACUCCUACGGGAGGCAGCAGUGGGGAAUCUUGGACAAUGGGCGCAAGCCUGAUCCAGCAAUGCCGCGUGGGUGAAGACGGCCUGCGGGUUGUAAAGCCCUUUAGGCGGGGAGGAACGACGGGACGCUAAUAGCGUUUCGGAGUGACGUUACCCGCGGAAUAAGCACCGGCUAACUCCGUG
rnacentral:rRNA from 1 species